rnacentral:misc_RNA from 1 species
GAUGAAGAACGCAGCGAAAUGCGAUAAGUAAUGUGAAUUGCAGAAUUCAGUGAAUCAUCGAAUCUUUGAACGCACCUUGCGCCCUUUGGCUAUUCUGAAGGGCAUGCCUGUUUGAGUAUCGUGAACACCUCAACUCUCAUGGUCUGCCAUGAUGAGCUUGGACUUUGGGGGUCUUGCUGGCCUACUGUCAGCUCCUCUCAAAUGAAUCAGCUUACCAGUGUUUGGUGGCACCACAGGUGUGAUAACUAUCUACGCUUGUGGUUUUCUGCCAGGUAACCUCCAGUGAUGGAGGUUCGCUGGAGCUCACAAAUGUCUCUCCUCAGCGAGGACAGCUUUUUGAACGUUUGAUCUCAAAUCAGGUAGGACUACCCGCUGAACUUAAGCAUAUCAAUAAGCGGAGA